rnacentral:rRNA from 1 species
UGCAAGUCGAACGGUAACAGGAAGAAGCUUGCUUCUUUGCUGACGAGUGGCGGACGGGUGAGUAAUGUCUGGGAAACUGCCUGAUGGAGGGGGAUAACUACUGGAAACGGUAGCUAAUACCGCAUAAUGUCGCAAGACCAAAGAGGGGGACCUUCGGGCCUCUUGCCAUCGGAUGUGCCCAGAUGGGAUUAGCUUGUUGGUGGGGUAACGGCUCACCAAGGCGACGAUCCCUAGCUGGUCUGAGAGGAUGACCAGCCACACUGGAACUGAGACACGGUCC